rnacentral:rRNA from 1 species
UACGUAGGGUGCAAGCGUUGUCCGGAUCUAUUGGGCGUAAAGAGCUCGUAGGCGGUCUGUUGCGUCGGAUGUGAAAACCCAGGGCUCAACCCUGGGCCUGCAUUCGAUACGGGCAGACUAGAGUAUGGCAGGGGAGACUGGAAUUCCUGGUGUAGCGGUGAAAUGCGUAGAUAUCAGGAGGAACACCGAUGGCGAAGGCAGCUUUCUGGCCUAAGACUGACGCUGAGGUGCGAAAGCGUGGGGAGCGAACGGG